rnacentral:rRNA from 1 species
UAGAUUCUGAAGCUCACGAAACAGGUUCCAAGAAAAACCAUUGUGGACGACUGUCAAAGCCGUACUAAAACUGACACAGGUAGGUGGGGUGAAUAACCUAAGGCGCUCGAGAAAACGGUCGUGAAGGAACUAGGCAAUUUUACCCCGUAACUUAGGGAUAAGGGGGCCCUCCUCCUACGGGAGAGGGCGCAGAGAAAAGGCUCUGGGAACUGUUUAUCAAAAACACAGGACUGUGCUAACUCGCAAGAGGAUGUAUACAGUCUGACGCUUGCUCGAUGCUGGAAUGUUAAGGAAGCAGGUCAGCCGCAAGGCAAAGCUUGCAACCGAAGCACCAGUCAAUGGCGGCCGUAACUAUGACGGUCCUAAGGUAGCGAAGUUCCUUGUCGGGUAAGUUCCGACGCGCAUGAAUAGCGUAAUCACUGGAGCACUGUCUCCACGACCGACUCGGUGAAAUAUAAGACGCGGUGUAGAUACCGUGUAACCGCAGCAAGACGGAAAGACCCCGUGGACCUUUACUGUAGGAUGAUAUUGGCCACGAGUAUGUUCUGCGUAGGAUAGGUGGGAGGCUUUGAAGUUCUGGUUCUGGCCAGGAUGGAGCCAUCGUUGAAAUACCACCCUGAAUAUUCUUGUGACCUAACCUUAAGCCGUGAAUCCGGCUAAGGGACAGUGUUAUCUGGGCAGUUUGACUGGGGCGGUCUCCUCCCAAAAAGUAACGGAGGAGUGCAAAGGUUGGCUCAGCACAGUUGGAAACUGUGCGUCGAGUGCAAGAGCACAAGCCAGCUUUACUGCGAGACGUACAUGUCAAGCAGUCACGAAAGUGGGCUCUAGUGAUCCGGCGAUUCCGAGUGGAAGGGUCGUCGCUCAACGGAUAAAAGGUACCCCGGGGAUAACAGGCUGAUCGCGCCCGAGCGUCCAUAGCGGCGGCGCGGUUUGGCACCUCGAUGUCGGCUCAUCACAUCCUGGGGCUGAAGGCGGUCCCAAGGGUUGGGCUGUUCGCCCAUUAAAGUGGUACGCGAGCUGGGUUCAGACCGGCGUGAGCCAGGUCGGUCCCUAUCUGCUGUGGUCGUAGGAAACUUGAAAGGAUUCUUCCCUAGUACGAGAGGAUUAGGAAGGACAGACCCCUGGUGCGCCAGUUGGGCCGCUAGGCCCAUCGCUGGGUAGCUAAGUCUGGCAGGGAUAAACGCUGAAAGCAUAUAAGCGUGAAGCCCCCCUUAAGAUAAGGUUUCCACAGAGACCCCCGGUAGACCACCGGGUGAUAGGCGGGAUGUGUAAAGGUAGAAAUACCCUCAGCUAACCCGUACUAACGGUCGAUCACUUGGUCAC